rnacentral:lncRNA from 1 species
CUAGAUCAUCAUACCUCAAUGGCUCUGCUCAUAUAAUUGUCCACUAAUGAGAUCAGUUUGCAGCUGUGGCUAGGUGACAACUUAGAGAUAAAUAUACCUCUUUAUGUCUGAAAGAUGUAUUGGCACAAAAUUAGAUUAUUAAAGUUAUGAGAAAGCUAUAGGCCUGCCUGACAUGUCAUCAUGGAUUAUGUGGAAAGGACUCAGAUCAGCGAUGCUCACUGAGUGGAACAAUGUAAGGCUUUCUCUAAUUCAUCAUUAUUUAAGGCCUAAUGAUGCUAAGAUGACCCAUUUUUCACCAGUGCUGGAGAAGUACAGCAAGAAAUUUGUGGCUAAAGACUGUCUUUGUGUCAUGACUGAUCUCCUAAAUGGAAACAUGCUGUGGCUGCCAUAG